GAUCAAGCGACUAAGUGCAUCUGGUGGAUGCCUUGGCGAUCAUAGGCGAUGAAGGACGUGUAAGCCUGCGAAAAGCGCGGGGGAGCUGGCAAUAGAGCAUUGAUCCCGCGAUGUCCGAAUGGGGAAACCCACCUCUUUUGAGGUAUCCCUGGCUGAAUCCAUAGGCCAGCGGAGGCGAACCCGGCGAACUGAAACAUCUAAGUAGCCGGAGGAAAAGAAAUCAACCGAGAUUCCGCAAGUAGUGGCGAGCGAACGCGGAAGAGCCUGUACGUGAUAGCAGUCGUGUUAGAAGAACGGUCUGGAAAGGCCGGCCAUAGUGGGU
rnacentral:rRNA from 1 species